rnacentral:ncRNA from 1 species
ACCCCUUGAAGACGACGAGGUAGAUAGGGCAGAGGUGGAAGUGCAGUAAUGCAUGGAGCUGACUGUUACUAAUCGGUCGAGGGCUUAUCCAG